rnacentral:rRNA from 1 species
CAGCAGUCGCCGCGGUAAUACGGAGGGUGCAAGCGUUAAUCGGAAUUACUGGGCGUAAAGCGCACGCAGGCGGUCUGACAAGUCAGAUGUGAAAUCCCCGGGCUCAACCUGGGAAUGGCAGUGGAUACUGGCUCGCUAGAGUGUGUCAGAGGAUGGUGGAAUUCCCGGUGUAGCGGUGAAAUGCGUAGAGAUCGGGAGGAACAUCAGUGGCGAAGGCGGCCAUCUGGGACAACACUGACGCUGAGGCACGAAAGCGUGGGGAGCAAACAGGAUUAGAUACCCCUGUAGUCCCUGUCUCUUAUAC